AGUGAACGCUGGCGGUAGGCCUAACACAUGCAAGUCGAACGGCAGCACAGUAAGAGCUUGCUCUUACGGGUGGCGAGUGGCGGACGGGUGAGGAAUACAUCGGAAUCUACUUUUUCGUGGGGGAUAACGUAGGGAAACUUACGCUAAUACCGCAUACGACCUGCGGGUGAAAGCAGGGGAUCUUCGGACCUUGCGCGAUUGAAUGAGCCGAUGUCGGAUUAGCUAGUUGGCGGGGUAAAGGCCCACCAAGGCGACGAUCCGUAGCUGGUCUGAGAGGAUGAUCGGCCACACUGGAACUGAGACACGGUCCAGACUCCUACGGGAGGCAGCAGUGGGGAAUAUUGGACAAUGGGCGCAAGCCUGAUCCAGCCAUACCGCGUGGGUGAAGAAGGCCUUCGGGUUGUAAAGCCCUUUUGUUGGGAAAGAAAAGCAGCAGGUUAAUACCCCGCUGUUCUGACGGUACCCAAAGAAUAAGCACCGGCUAACUUCGUG
rnacentral:rRNA from 1 species